rnacentral:rRNA from 1 species
UACGAAGGGGGCUAGCGUUGCUCGGAAUCACUGGGCGUAAAGCGCACGUAGGCGGAUUGCUAAGUCAGGGGUGAAAUCCUGGAGCUCAACUCCAGAACUGCCUUUGAUACUGGCGACCUUGAGUCCGGGAGAGGUGAGUGGAACUGCGAGUGUAGAGGUGAAAUUCGUAGAUAUUCGCAAGAACACCAGUGGCGAAGGCGGCUCACUGGCCCGGUAUUGACGCUGAGGUGCGAAAGCGUGGGGAGCAAACAGG